GUGGGGAAUAUUCCGCAAUGGACGAAAGUCUGACGGAGCAACGCCGCGUGAGUGAUGAAGGUUUUCGGACUGUAAAGCUCUGUUGUUUAGGACGAAAGUGCCUGUUGCGAAUAGUUACAGGUAUUGACGGUACUGAACGAGGAAGCCACGGCUAACUACGUGCCAGCAGCCGCGGUAAUACGUAGGUGGCAAGCGUUGUCCGGAAUUAUUGGGCGUAAAGAGCAUGUAGGCGGGAAUCUAAGUCUGUUGUGAAAAUGCGGGGCUCAACCCCGUAGUGCGAUGGAAACUGGGUUUCUUGAGUGCAGGAGAGGAAAGGGGAAUUCCCAGUGUAGCGGUGAAAUGCGUAGAUAUUGGGAGGAACACCAGUGGCGAAGGCGCCUUUCUGGACUGUGUCUGACGCUGAGAUGCGAAAGCCAGGGUAGCGAACGGGAUUAGAAACCCGUGUAGUCC
rnacentral:rRNA from 1 species